UUUAAGUGCAACCAUAAGUUUCCGUGUCCAACUUUGAUCGUCCGUCUUAUUUGAACUUUUUAGUAUUUUUAUUGUUAUGAGAUAAUAAAACAUGAAUAGUACUUUAUGCGUGACUUAUAUUUUUAAAUUUUUCAAAAAAAUUUCAAAUAAGACGGACAAUUAAAAUUGGGCACGGAAAAUCAUGGCUACACUUAAA
rfam:Oryza meridionalis cultivar OR44 (W2112) chromosome 2, whole genome shotgun sequence.